rnacentral:snRNA from 1 species
AUGCUCGCUUCAGCAGCACGUAUACUAAAAUUAGAGGGAUGUAAAAAAGACCUUGCAUGGUCCUUGUGCAAGGAUGACAUGCGAAUUUGUAAAGAGUUCCAUAUUUAA